GGGAGAUCUUGCACAUCCAAGAGAGGAGCAGGUACACUGGCUGUGCACCUGCAGCCCCACGCUGUCUUCUCUCUCUGUCUCCAGGGUAGGCACUUUGGGGCAGAAGUGGUCAACAGCGCCGGAAUCUACCGGUCAGCAUCAGGCUUUAAAAGACGCCCUCGUGGCACUGUUGACAACAGCAAAGACUUGGAACCAACCCAAA
rnacentral:lncRNA from 1 species